rnacentral:lncRNA from 1 species
AAUAUAGUAUUCUCGUCUCCGUCUUAGAAAAUUUUCUGCGUCUUCAUCCCUAUGGCUGCGUUUGGUUCGGGUAUAAGUAAGAACUGCUAGUUCGAGUGAUAGGUAUAAGUUCAGGUAUAAGAAGGAAUUAGACCAAUUUUGCGUUUGGAUGAAAAUUGAGUUGUUCCUAGGAAUAAGUUAAAUAGUGUUUGGAUAGUUAGAUUGGAACAAGAGGAAUAAAAGUUAUAAUUUAUUUGAAAUUAAAAUUAUAUUAUGUAAUUAGUUAACAUCAAAAUAUUACUGAAAAAUAAAUAAGAAAUUAAUUAUUAAUAAUUAAUUAUAAAUAAUAAUAAUUAAUAAUAAUUAAUUAUAAAUAAUAAAUUAUUAAUAACGAUUAUCUAAUUAAUAAUAAUUAUUAUUAUUAUUAAUUAUUAAUAAAUAAUAAUAAUUAUUAAUUAUUCUUAUUAAUUAAUUAUAAAUAAUAAAUUAUUAAUAAUAUUGAUUAUCUAAUUAUUAAUAAUAAUUAAUAUUAAUAUUAAUUAAUAAAUAAUAAUAAUUAAUAAAUAAUAAUUAUUAUUAUUAAUAAUUAAUUAUAAAUAAUAAAUUAAUAAUAACAUCGAUUAUCUAAUUAUUAAGAAUAAUAAUAAUUAAUUAAUUAUUAAUAAAUAAUAAUAUUAAUUUAUUAAUUAUUAAUUAUAAAUAAUAUAUUAAUAAUAAUAUCGAUUAUCAUUAAGAAUAAUAAUUAUUAAUAAAAAAUUAAUAAAUAUUAUUAAUUAUUAAUAAUUAAUUAUAAAUAAUAAAUUAAUAAUAAUUAUUAUUUAAUUAUUAAUAAUUAAUUAUAAAUAAUAAAUUAAUAAUAAUAUCCAUUAUCAUUAAGAAUAAUAAUUGUUAAUAAUUAUUAAAUAAAUAAUCAUAAAUAUUAUU